CGGCGAGCCGCCAUCCGACCCCCCUGCGCGAGCACUCCGCGCGCCGAGCCGAGCCGAGCGGUGCCGAGGAGCGAGCCGAGAGUCGAGCCGGGGCGUGUGCGCGCGGGGCGGGGCGGAGCCGAGCCGAACGGCAUCAGCUGUGCGCGCCCGUCGCGCGUGUUUGCUCGUGAGCGCGUUGCGUGUCGUGGCCGGCGCCCCCGUGAGGGUGUCAUGUCAUUCUGGUGCCGUCGAACACUGUGCUGUCGCCCACAUGUCCUGGCCGCCACGAUUGUCUGAGGAUUGAAUGUCGCGGAGUCUUCAGUAGCCACCCACCGAAGGAUAUGGGGCCAGGUGGGACUCGGCCGCCAGGGCCUCGGCAGCCGCGGUCGGCGCCACUGCUGCUGCUGCCGCUGUUGCUGCUGGCGGGGCUGGCGGGGUUGGCGGCGGGGCUGGCCGUGCUGCCGCCCACCCCAGCCUGCCGCCUGUCCGAGUACUUCUGCGACAACGGGCGCUGCGUGCCGCUCAACCGCUACUGCGACGCGGCCGACGACUGCGGAGACGCUUCGGAUGAGCCGCGCGGCU